rnacentral:lncRNA from 1 species
GAAAUUAGGGUUUGGAUUGUUGUUGUAUGGUGUUUGAUGUUUACAAUGAUGUGCUCAAUUGACAUUUUUUGGGAAGAAUUGAGAAAUCACAAUUUUUGGAUAAGAACCCUAAUCCCAAUUUGCCCAGAUUUUGGUCCAUUUUCGUGUGCAUGACUUUUCUCCCUCCAGCCAAUCAAAACAUUUCAUUUUCUGGACCAAAACACGGUCGUUUUGAUAAGUGACUGGGUUAUUUACCAAAAUGCCAUUUUCUCCAUAUAAAUUCAAUUAAUUUCUUCAAUAUUUCAUCACAAUCUUCCAAAAUUCACAACUUGCUCAUUUUUGAUCCAAGUUGAGUGGGAUUUUUUGUGUUGUGUUCAUCAUGAUCUCUACUUUUUUAUCAUUAUUUUUCCAGAAUUUUUGGAUGGAUGGUUUUUAAAUGGCCUUAGGGUUUGUGACAUGUGACCAAAUUUUGUACACUUUGCCAA